rnacentral:tRNA from 1 species
UUUAGGGUGGCAGAGUCAGGUAUAUAUGCAUGGAGCCUAAGCCCCCAUAACAGGGGCUCAAAUCCCCCCCCUAAAA